CAGGUGUCAAUCUUUAAAGUUGGCCAAUUAGUCACCCUGAGACGUUUACCUGAAAAGAGGCGGGACGAGAACAGAGAAAAAAGUACAGGAAAAAAGUGUAAAUACUCAUAGUUAUUAUGUUACGUAUUUUAUUGUUUGUGGCCACGUAAAAGAUAUUAAGAACACUCUAAAUGGAAACGCAAGUAAACGCACAUGUUUUAGGGUCUUUUCAUUUAAACUUGGCUCAGUUUGUGAGCUACUUAGCGUGCUAGCUAGUUGGGAGCUAAAUGCUAGCGCAACGACAGACUGUUACAGGUGGACAGUGGAAACAUACAUGUUGCAGUUUCUGACUGAAUUAGUGUGUUUCGGCGGCCGCAGCUCAAACGGUUUGAAAGCGGUGGCUAACAGCGUUCUGGACCCCAAAAAGCUAUCCAAAUCAUCAAGACCAAUGCUGUGCCUCUUGUGCACUGUCACCAUGGGAACAGGGAUAGUGGCUGCCAGCAGUUUGCUGUUUGCUUUGGCUGGAAAUCAAAGUGCGACUGGGGGUGGGGAUGGAUAUGGUGAAGUGGGAGAUGAUGUGGCCUGACGUGGGAUGGUAGAGGUGAUACCGCGUCUUGAAGUACAGCCUGGCUUUGUCCCACAAGCAGGAAGCCACCGUACAGUGGACCUCUCUGAGGAAAGGGAUCGAGUUUUCUUGACGACCUUCGGCUUGUCAUCAGACUAAUAGGUGGCUCCUGAUCCUGACAGCGUCCCCGUGUGUCACAGCGUAUAACACCGCCCCACCCCCUGCGAGCCUUAGCGUGCCCCUUCUUAGUAAAAUUGUUUACUUUGGCGCACAUGGCUGUAACCCUGGAAAAAAGUUCCUAUAGGCUGUUUUAAAUGUGACAAUAUCAACCACCUCCGAAAAAUCAAUAAAGCGGCUGUUCACAGCUCCUAGGCUUUAGAA
rnacentral:lncRNA from 1 species